UCCAAAGUCGCAUGUCAUGUAAAUAUUUGCAAUUACCCAAACGAAUGGGUGUAGAUAUACCCAUAUAUCUCAAUAUAUACAAUAUAGAUAUCUGUGCAGGUAUGUUGCUGAUUUUUGCAUUUGACUGAUUCAGCAGAAAUAUCACUUUGAUGGCAUCAUUACAGAUUACUGCGGAAGGCAAUCAAUAAAGCACCUGCGCAUCAAAGGCAGCCAAUCACAGGGCUACAUCUGUCAGAUCUACUCUAUAUAAAUUGUAUAUAUCUGUCAGUCAAAAAGUCUGUUUUUCUUUUUUUUUUCUGUUUUGUUGGCUAAAGUUAGUUGGCGUGAAUAAUUUCCACUAAAUACAAUAAAACCAUUUAGCUUGGGGCGCUCGAAAUUUACAUAGAAAUGAAAGCCUCGCAACCGGAACUGUGCCACAAAAUAAUAAUAAAAAAUACAAUAUGGACAUAGAAAUCAUUGAGGUACUCGAGACUUUGGGGGCAAAAGGAAAGAAGAAAAUUAUUCGUAGCUGUGCGUAGCUCAGGAGAGCUUAGUACCCAAAUUAUAUAUCUCCAGCUCUUACAGUUUACGAGAUAUAUAUAAAAGAAAUUUCACAAUUAAUUAUGAUAAAAUAAAAUAAAUUAUUACCAUAUUUAGAAAA